GCGCUGGCUCCAGCAGCACCUAUACUAAAAUUACAAUGAUACAGAGAAGAUCAACAUGGCUCCUGUGCAAGGAUGACAUGAAAAUUCAUGAAGCAUUCCACAUUAAA
rnacentral:snRNA from 1 species